UACGGAGGGUGCAAGCGUUAUCCGGAUUCACUGGGUUUAAAGGGUGCGUAGGAGGGCAGGUAAGUCAGUGGUGAAAUCUCCAAGCUUAACUUGGAAACUGCCGUUGAUACUAUCUGUCUUGAAUACCGUGGAGGUGAGCGGAAUAUGUCAUGUAGCGGUGAAAUGCUUAGAUAUGACAUAGAACACCAAUUGCGAAGGCAGCUCACUACGGAUAUAUUGACACUGAGGCACGAAAGCGUGGGGAUCAAACAGG
rnacentral:rRNA from 1 species